rnacentral:rRNA from 1 species
GCGGUUUCUUAUUUCUGAUGUGAAACCCCCCCCCUCUCCCGGGGAGGGUCUUUGGAAACUGGGGAACUUGAGUGCCCAUAAGAAAAGAGGAAUUCCCCGUGUACCGGUGAAAUGCGUAAAGAUGUGGAGGAACCCCAGUGGCGAAGGCGCCUUUUUGGUCUGUAACUGACGCUGAGGAGCGAAAGCGUGGGGAGCAAACAGGAUUAUAUACCCUGGUACCCCACCCCGUAAACAAUGAGUGCUAAGUGUUAGAGGGUUCCCCCCCCUUAUUGCUGCAGCAAACACAUCACCCCCCCCGCCUGGGGAGUACGGCCG